rnacentral:rRNA from 1 species
AGUGAACGCUGGCGGUAGGCCUAACACAUGCAAGUCGAACGGCAGCACAGUAAGAGCUUGCUCUUACGGGUGGCGAGUGGCGGACGGGUGAGGAAUACAUCGGAAUCUACUUUUUCGUGGGGGAUAACGUAGGGAAACUUACGCUAAUACCGCAUACGACCUACGGGUGAAAGCAGGGGAUCUUCGGACCUUGCGCGAUUGAAUGAGCCGAUGUCGGAUUAGCUAGUUGGCGGGGUAAAGGCCCACCAAGGCGACGAUCCGUAGCUGGUCUGAGAGGAUGAUCAGCCACACUGGAACUGAGACACGGUCCAGACUCCUACGGGAGGCAGCAGUGGGGAAUAUUGGACAAUGGGCGCAAGCCUGAUCCAGCCAUACCACGUGGGUGAAGAAGGCCUUCGGGUUGUAAAGCCCUUUUGUUGGGAAAGAAAAGCAGCAGGUUAAUACCCCGCUGUUCGGACGGUACCCAAAGAAUAAGCACCGGCUAACUGCGU